rnacentral:rRNA from 1 species
GCCCAUUCGGGGUGGAUUAGUGGCGAACGGGUGAGUAACACGUGGGCAAUCUGCCCUUCACUCUGGGACAAGCCCUGGAAACGGGGUCUAAUACCGGAUAACACCUCCACUCUCCUGGGUGGAGGUUAAAAGCUCCGGCGGUGAAGGAUGAGCCCGCGGCCUAUCAGCUUGUUGGUGAGGUAAUGGCUCACCAAGGCGACGACGGGUAGCCGGCCUGAGAGGGCGACCGGCCACACUGGGACUGAGACACGGCCCAGACUCCUACGGGAGGCAGCAGUGGGGAAUAUUGCACAAUGGGCGAAAGCCUGAUGCAGCGACGCCGCGUGAGGGAUGACGGCCUUCGGGUUGUAAACCUCUUUCAGCAGGGAAGAAGCGAAAGUGACGGUACCUGCAGAAGAAGCGCCGGCUAACUACGUGCCAGCAGCCGCGGUAAUACGUAGGGCGCAAGCGUUGUCCGGAAUUAUUGGGCGUAAAGAGCUCGUAGGCGGUCUGUCACGUCGGAUGUGA